UACUACUAUUUGAGCGGAGCUCAGGAGCAAUCGAUCUCGUCAUUUCCUCACACUGCGUCGUCUCGUCACCAUGUCCGUUGAGAUCAAGCUCUCCCGUUCGAACCGCAUAUAUCGUCCCACUGAGCCACUUGAAGGCACAAUCGUCACCAAAUCUCCAUCUUCCUUCUCCCACUCCGCAAUUCGUCUCAAUGUGAACGGAUCAGUCACCUUGCAGAUCCGAGGCGGAUCAGCUGGAGUGAUCGAGUCUGUAUACGGUGUUUUGAAACCUAUCUCGAUUGUGAAUAAGAGUGUUGAGGUCAAAUCUUCUGGAAGGAUAGGUUCAGGUACAACGGAGAUACCAUUUUCUGUUAUUCUAAAAAAUCCAGGAGACGGCAAUUUAGAAUCGUUUUAUGAAACCUUUCACGGAGCUGAUAUCAGCAUCCAGUAUCUGGCAACUGUAGAAAUACUCAGGGGAUACCUGCAUAAAUCUUUGUCUGCCACUGUGGAGUUCAUAAUCGAGACUGAAAAAGCUAAUCUCCCUGAUCAAGCAAUUUCUCCUGAAAUGGUCUUGUUUUACAUUACCCAGGACACACAAAGACAUCCAUUGCUUCCGGAACUAAAAUCAGGUGGUUUCCGAGUUACUGGUAAAAUAUGCACUCAGUGUUCAUUGUCAGAUCCUAUUAGUGGUGAGCUAACAGUUGAAGCAUCUGCGGUUCCUAUUCUCUCCAUUGAUAUCCACUUGCUUCGUGUGGAAUCAACUCUUCUCGGAGAAAGAAUCAUCACUGAAACCUCUCUAAUUCAAACUACCCAGAUAGCAGAUGGAGAUGUCUGCCGUCAAAUGACUCUUCCCAUUUACGUCAUAGUCCCCCGUCUUUUGACUUGUCCGACAAUUUAUGCUGGUCCAUUUUCAAUAGAAUUCAAAGUGUCAAUUGUCAUUACCUUUGCAUCGGAGCUAUCAAAGUUGCAUCCAAAAUCAGAUCCUAGAACUCCUAGACAGUGGCUGGCAAUGGAAAGUGUACCUCUGGAAUUGGUUCGGACGAAGUAAGAUGAUCCAUGAUGUACGUAAUCUUCUGGUCAAAAUUUUCUUCCUUCUAAACAAAAAUGGAGGCAGUAGCUCAGUUGGUCCGAGAUGGCUCAGCCUUGAUAAGACUUCAAAAGGAAGAGUAUAGCAUCUGCAGCCUGCUCUUGGAAUGAGGUGGGUUAUCCUUACAGUGUGGUGUUUCUUUCUGUUGAUGGUCUUGCCUCGAAGGAGGUACUUCUCGAACUCGGAAACAUCAGAUUGCUGGAUGAUGUCCUGGAAACAAAACCUACAUCUUGACACCUUUAGAUAUGCAUCUCCUCCACCUACCAACUUUCAUAUGAGCGAUGACAUUGGAUUAGACCGACACGAGAAACAAAUAAAUGAAAAGUUGAUGGGUAGUUGAACCUGUAAAUAAAAAAAUGAAAACUUGUAGCAUUGAGACCCUACAGAACCAAAUGUACGGGGUGGUUACUUCAAAGUCCCCAUUUUUUAUUACGAUGUUUUCUUUCGUUUUCCUCCUUUUGACCUUCUUGUUGAGAAGAAAUUGAGUUGAGAAUUGAGAUA